UUACCUACCCUUGACAUGGUCGGAAUCCUGAAGAGAUUCGGGAGUGCUCGAAAGAGAACCGGCGCACAGGUGCUGCAUGGCUGUCGUCAGCUCGUGUCGUGAGAUGUUGGGUUAAGUCCCGCAACGAGCGCAACCCUUGUCCUUAGUUGCUACGAGAGCACUCUAAGGAGACUGCCGGUGACAAACCGGAGGAAGGUGGGGAUGACGUCAAGUCCUCAUGGCCCUUAUGGGUAGGGCUUCACACGUCAUACAAUGGUCGGACCUUGAUGGUUGCCAACCCGCGAGGGGGAGCUAAUCCCAGAAACCCGACUCUCCGGAUUGCACUCUGCAACUCGAUGCAUGAAGCUGGAAUCGCUAGUAAUCGCGGAUCAGCAUG
rnacentral:rRNA from 1 species